CUCUCUCUCUCUCUCUCUCUUUUCCCCAUAUUCUCACUUUCUUUUUAUCAUUUCACAUUCCUAAUUAAUUAGCAUUCCUGAGUUGUGACUCUCUCAUUGGGAAAGCUGAACUUCACCAUCAUCCAGGAAAAUUCAAUAAUGGUGAAGGAAACUGAGUAUUAUGAUGUUCUUGGUGUCAGCCCUUCUGCUUCAGAGGAUGAGAUUCGCAAAGCUUAUUAUCUUAAGGCCAGGCAAGUUCAUCCAGAUAAAAAUCCAAAUGAUCCUCAGGCUGCAGAAAGAUUUCAGGUGUUAGGUGAAGCUUAUCAAGUCUUGAGUGAUCCAGUGCAAAGAGAUGCUUAUGAUAGGAAUGGGAAGUAUUGCAUAUCAAGGGAAAGCAUGCUUGAUCCUACAGCUGUUUUUGCUCUUCUGUUCGGAAGUGAAUUAUUUGAGGACUACAUAGGACAUUUAUCUGUGGCAUCUAUGGCUUCUUCAGAAUUAGCUACUGAAAUUGACAAUCCUGAGAAAAUGCAUGAUAAAUUGAAGGCUGUUCAAAAAGAAAGAGAGGAAAAGCUUGCAAGAUUGCUUAAAGAUUUUCUUAACCAACAUGCUCGAGGUGACAAGAUAGGAUUCUUAAGGCGUGUUGAAUCUGAAGCUAAACGGCUCUCUGAUGCAGCUUUUGGAGUAGAUAUAUUACAAACUAUUGGCUACAUAUAUUCAAGACAAGCAGCACAAGAGCUUGGAAAGAAAGCAAUUUAUCUCGGGGUGCCAUUUUUGGCUGAGUGGGUUCGCAAUAAGGGCCAUUUCUGGAAGUCUCAGAUUACAGCAGCAAAAGGAGCUUUUCAGUUGCUGCAGCUUCAAGAGGAUAUCCGCAAGCAAUUUAAAAUGGAUGGAAGUGGCCCUGAAAACGACGUUGAAUCUCAUCUGCGCUCAAACAAAGAGAUACUGAUGAACUCAUUAUGGAAAUUGAAUGUGGUGGACAUUGAAGUUACCCUUGUACACGUUUGUCAAAUGGUCCUGAGGGAAAGUAAUGUUAGCAAGGAAGAACUUAAAGCCCGUGCCUUGGCUCUGAAAAUUCUUGGAAAGAUCUUUCAGCAGGAAAAGCAAGCACGAAAUGGGUCAACAUCGAAAGGAAAAAACGCUGCUGCAAUUGCUGAUGUAGAUGAUGAUGAUGGAAGCAGUUCUGAGAGCAGUAGUGAAGAGGAUUCACCAAAAGCAAUAUCAUAUAGAACUCCUUUACUUACUCAGGGCAUUGGUAGACUCUUCAGAUGCCUUUGUAAUCCAGCAUUUGAUGUGGAUGAUGAUGAGAUUGUGUACAAAAGCAAGUGAUGCUGACGCAUAGUAUGUACAUAACCAAGGUUUGACGAUAUGAAAUUUGUGUUGAGCAAGUGAUAAAGUUAGCCGAAGGCAUCUUGUUGAAAGAACUUUUAUUAUUGAUGGACAGAUUGGCGCAAGCUUCUUUGUUUUAUUUUUUCUUUUUCAUUUUUUUUUUCAUUUAAAGGCAAGAUAAGAAUACUUUCGCAAUCACAUUGUUUGGUAUCUGCUACAGCAAAAUGACUUCGUGUAUAAAGUUAGAAACCAAUUUGUUCAUUUCAUUUCAAGGGUUUGUGCUUUGGAUGUUUUUACAAUCUGUUACUGCCAACGACAGCAUGUGAGAGCUUUGCACAAAGCUUCUAAACCACAGAGAGAAGAACGUACAUGCAGAUGAAAGGUAACGAAUUAUCAACUGAAGAUGCUGAGUUUUUCCUAGAGAAGAACGUACAUGCAGAUGAAAGGUAACGAAUUAUCAACUGAAGAUGCUGAGUUUUUCCU
rnacentral:misc_RNA from 1 species